rnacentral:rRNA from 1 species
GAUGAACGCUGGCGGCGUGCCUAAUACAUGCAAGUCGAGCGAACGGACGAGAAGCUUGCUUUUCUGAUGUUAGCGGCGGACGGGUGAGUAACACGUGGAUAACCUACCUAUAAGACUGGGAUAACUUCGGGAAACCGGAGCUAAUACCGGAUAAUAUUUUGAACCGCAUGGUUCAAAAGUGAAAGACGGUCUUGCUGUCACUUAUAGAUGGAUCCGCGCUGCAUUAGCUAGUUGGUAAGGUAACGGAUUACCAAGGCAACGAUGCAUAGCCGACCUGAGAGGGUGAUCGGCCACACUGGAACUGAGACACGGUCCAGACUCCUACGGGAGGCAGCAGUAGGGAAUCUUCCGCAAUGGGCGAAAGCCUGACGGAGCAACGCCGCGUGAGUGAUGAAGGUCUUCGGAUCGUAAAACUCUGUUAUUAGGGAAGAACAUAUGUGUAAGUAACUGUGCACAUCUUGACGGUACCUAAUCAGAAAGCCACGGCUAGCUACGUG